ensembl:piRNA 21ur-1142 ncRNA
UGACUCAACUAACCUGAAUUU